GAUGAACGCUGGCGGCGUGCCUAAUACAUGCAAGUCGAGCGAACAGACGAGAGUGCUUGCACUCUCUGACGUUAGCGGCGGACGGGUGAGUAACACGUGGGUAACCUACCUAUAAGACUGGGAUAACUUCGGGAAACCGGAGCUAAUACCGGAUAAUAUUUAGCUUCGCAUGAAGCAAUAGUGAAAGACGGUUCUGCUGUCACUUAUAGAUGGACCCGCGGUGUAUUAGCUAGUUGGUGAGGUAACGGCUCACCAAGGCAACGAUACAUAGCCGACCUGAGAGGGUGAUCGGCCACACUGGGACUGAGACACGGCCCAGACUCCUACGGGAGGCAGCAGUAGGGAAUCUUCCGCAGUGGACGAAAGUCUGACGGAGCAAUGCCGCGUGAGUGAAGAAGGUUUUCGGAUCGUAAAACUCUGUUGUAAGGGAAGAACAAGUACGUUAGUAACUGAGCGUACCUUGACGGUACCUUACCAGAAAGCCACGGCUAACUACGUG
rnacentral:rRNA from 1 species